rnacentral:rRNA from 1 species
CCUACGGGUGGCAGCAGUGGGGAAUAUUGCACAAUGGAGGAAACUCUGAUGCAGCGACGCCGCGUGGAGGAAGAAGGUUUUCGGAUCGUAAACUCCUGUUGUCGGGGACGAUAAUGACGGUACCCGACAAGAAAGUGACGGCUAACUACGUGCCAGCAGCCGCGGUAAAACGUAGGUCACAAGCGUUGUCCGGAAUUACUGGGUGUAAAGGGAGCGCAGGCGGGGAGAUAAGUUGGGAGUGAAAACUAUGGGCUCAACCCAUAAAUUGCUUUCAAAACUAUCUUUCUUGAGUAGUGCAGAGGUAGGCGGAAUUCCCGGUGUAGCGGUGGAAUGCGUAGAUAUCGGGAGGAACACCAGUGGCGAAGGCGGCCUACUGGGCACCAACUGACGCUGAGGCUCGAAAGUAUGGGUAGCAAACAGGAUUAGAUACCCUUGUAG